GACAAACGCUGGCGGCGUGCUUAACACAUGCAAGUCGAACGCUGAAGCUCAGCUUUUGUUGGGUGGAUGAGUGGCGAACGGGUGAGUAACACGUGAGUAACCUGCCCCCUUCUUUGGGAUAACGCCCGGAAACGGGUGCUAAUACUGGAUAUUCACUGGUCUUCGCAUGGGGGUUGGUGGAAAGGGUUUUUCUGGUGGGGGAUGGGCUCGCGGCCUAUCAGCUUGUUGGUGGGGUGAUGGCCUACCAAGGCUUUGACGGGUAGCCGGCCUGAGAGGGUGACCGGUCACAUUGGGACUGAGAUACGGCCCAGACUCCUACGGGAGGCAGCAGUGGGGAAUAAUGCACAAUGGGCGCAAGCCUGAUGCAGCGACGCCGCGUGAGGGAUGGAGGCCUUCGGGUUGUGAACCUCUUUCGCUCAUGGUCAAGCCGCAACAAUGGUUGUGGUGAGGGUAGUGGGUAAAGAAGCGCCGGCUAACUACGUG
rnacentral:rRNA from 1 species